rnacentral:tRNA from 1 species
CCUCUUGUAGCUCGGUGAUCAGAGCAUUAGUAUGUUGAGCCAACAAAGGUCCCGGGUUCGAUUCCCGGCGAGGA